ensembl:lncRNA
CUCCUGGAUUUUUGCUGUUGUCUGAGAAUUAUGACAAAAACUAAACAGAAUAACUAAUUGUUUUUAAAUAAAUUAAAUCCAUAGAUAUAAUACUUCUAAAAUAAAUGUAUUGAUCCACACAAUACACCUUCAAGUAUCUUCUGGACAAUACUCUGUGCAGGUUGUUUUUCCUUCUGUUCCACCCCAUGGCCUGGAUGGUUAGCAUGUCUGUUCUUGCUAGAAAUGCCAAAUAGAACUCCUUAUUCCAGAUAAGUAUUAACAUAGCUGAAUAGAACAACCUUAAACAAAAUGUUUACCUCCUUUGGACAUUUGCUUGGAACAGAUUGCAGCCCUCGACAAGAAGCUGUUCCCUUGUUCCUCUUCCUCCCCCAGAGUUGUGCCAGCUCCUUCCUGAUUCCGUCCUCCCCACUUAAUCUUAAUUUACAUUUUUUUUUUUAAAUAUAGACUUGAUAUUGCAAUUAUGUGAAUAACAAACAUCUAAAUGGGAAGCCUUGUAAAGGACUGAAGCUGGAAAUUCUCUUUCAACAGUUUAAUAAAGAAAAACUUACCUCGCAUUUCAAACGAUGUGCCUUUGUAUGCAUGACAGAAAGUGGCUUCAUGUCUAGAAGAGUGGCGAGCUCUGGACAAUGAAGGGCAACUUUGGUCAGGUAUGGCCAAAAUUUGCAGAUCACAUACACAUGAAUUGUAUGUUCCUGCUGCCAGACAAUUCCUUCUGCAAGAACAGUGGAUAUGCAAAUAUCUCUCCACGCAUCAUGUUGAGGCUCCUUAGAAGUAUUCCAUGGCGAGAGACGGCUACUUCGAGUCCCUCUUCAUCAAGUUUGUCGUUUGUUUUCCUUGAACUCUUUAGCUGCUGUCCACUGGGAUGCUCCACAUACUCCUUUUCCAUAACCUUAGACAAUGAAGUAGAAGAGUAUCGGAAGAAAUUAUGUUUUUGGGGGGGAAGUGUUAACGGGACAGUGGUUAGGUUUUUAAAAAUCUAGCUGAGGGCACUGAGCUACCCCCUGUGUUCGCUACAAUGGAGAUCAGAAGUUGGAGAUUGACUGUCAACGCCAUCAAAGAAUACUUUGUCAUCAAAGGAUUGAAAGGAUACGUGAAAUACAUUAAAUAUGACAUAUGAAAUAGCAAUCAAACUCAAUAACAGAUUGUGGGACACUUGACAAAGUUGAUAAUUCAUUUCAUUACAAGCUAAAAAUGACCUAAACUGCAUUUGAAAACGUUCACACUGGACAAGGAAAAGACAAACCUUGUUUGGAUUGUUUAAAUGAUGUAGAGUAUGGUGUUAUUUGAUAAAUUAUGAAUACUUUUACAUACCCUUUUUUGAAUCGAUACAGCUUCUUGUUCCCGUCCACUGACACUGCAAGCAUGCUGGGUGAACAGGCUGGGCAGUCAAAGUCCUGUAUAUCACAGACCUAAUCAAUUUCAGAGCGGCAGUACGUCCACUCGAAGCUUUUUUGAAAAGUGUCCCCACAGAUCAUUCCGUUCUGCUAAGGGAAAAAUACAUAUAGAAAAUAUAUGAAAUCACUUACAACAAUAGUAUAAACAAAACAUACUAUCAUUCACUGGCUGACUGGAUUUGAGUUAAAGCAGGGCCAGUACAUAGUGUUGACAGCAAAGCAGGUGAAAGCCAAUGAAAAAGUAGGAUGAGUACUUAUGUUGUAAAGAGCAGGUAAUAUUGGAUGCAAGAGGGGCACAGAUAAGGUGCAUGGCCGGACAGUGGUGCAGGAGGCUAACACAUACUGUAGCAAGAGACCUGAAGUUUUAACAUAGUUAUAGUACUGGAAAUAAAGUUAUGUUACACAAAGUGUUGUAACAAAAUGUAACAUAGUUAACCUGAAGUCAUACAUUGGUAAAGCUGAGUAUAAUUGAUUGUUACCCUGCCAAAGGAGUCUGUUCGCUGCUCCAAAAUCCACAUAAACGCCAGACGGGACAUUCCUGGGGCUGACACUUCCAGCUCCUCAAAAGAGCUGAACACAUCUACCUGGUAUAUGGUGUCACAGUUGACAGUGGCAGGCCAGUACCCAUUCUUUAUCAGAUCUGCCAAGUUUGCUGUCCAGGUGCUAAGACAAGUUGUGCAGGUAAGCACAGGCACUGUGACAUUGUAGUGACCUUGAGGAAAGAAAUGUAAUCUGAAUUAAUGUUGUUUUACAUUGCAUUGCUACAUCACUGUUUGGUUCUUGUAGAUAUUGCACAUACCAUUUAUUCCUACGAGUAUUAUAUGUUUCCCAGGGCCAACAUGGAUGGUGCUUGUCAGGCAACCACAUAUCACCUCUGGUACAUCCAAUGUUCUCUGCUGCCCAUGACUGGAACGAAUUGCAAAAAUCUCUGAAGCUGGAUACUCACAUCUCCCUCACGAGCUUUAAGCACCAGCUGUCGGAGCAGUUUACAGAUCACUGCACCUGUACUUAGCCUAUCUGUAAAGAGCCCCUCUACCUACCUCAUCCCCAUACUGGUAUUUAUUUAUUUAGCUCCUUUGCACCCCAGUAUCUCUACCUGCACAUUCAUCUUCUGCCGAUCUACCAUUCCAGUGUUUAAUUGCUAUAUUGUAAUUACUUCGCCAACAUGGCCUAUUUAUUUCCUUAACUUACCUCAUUUGCACUCACUGUAUACAGACUUUUUGUUUUCUUUUGUUCUACUGUAUUAUU